CUUGGUCAUUUAGAGGAAGUAAAAGUCGUAACAAGGUCUCCGUUGGUGAACCAGCGGAGGGAUCAUUACAGAGUUGCAAAACUCCCAACCAUUGUGAACCUACCUCACCGUUGCUUCGGCGGGUGGCGCUCCCUCACCCGGAGCGCCGCGCCGGCCCCUCCCCGGGGCCCGGCAACCCGUCAGAGGCCCGCAACUCUUAGUCAUCAUUGGCCUCUCUGAGUAACUUAUACAAUAAGUCAAAACUUUCAACAACGGAUCUCUUGGUUCUGGCAUCGAUGAAGAACGCAGCGAAAUGCGAUACGUAAUGUGAAUUGCAGAUUUCAGUGAAUCAUCGAAUCUUUGAACGCACAUUGCGCCCGCUAGUAUUCUGGCGGGCAUGCCUGUUCGAGCGUCAUUUCAACCAUCAAGCCCUAGGCUUGCGUUGGAGCCCUGCGGCUGCCGCAGGCUCCCAAAUCCAGUGGCGGGCUCGUCGUCGUACCGAGUGCAGUAAACAUCCUCGCUCAGGGAACGUGACGGGUUCUUGCCGUGAAACCCCCCACAUAUCAAGGUUGACCUCGGAUCAGGUAGGAAUACCCGCUGAACUUAAGCAUAUCAAUAAGCGGAGGAAAAGAAACCAACAGGGAUUGCCCCAGUAACGGCGAGUGAAGCGGCAACAGCUCAAAUUUGAAAUCUGGCCUCGGCCCGAGUUGUAAUUUGUAGAGGAAGCUUCUGGUGCGGCGCCGUCCGAGUCUCCUGGAACGGAGCGCCAUAGAGGGUGAGAGCCCCGUAUGGACGGAUGCCAAACCUGUGUGAAGCUCCUUCGACGAGUCGAGUUGUUUGGGAAU
rnacentral:sRNA from 1 species